ensembl:lncRNA
GGGGGGGGACAUCAACCUCAACGAAAGGUUAAGUAGGGAACGUCACAAGGUGCCUGCAGGUGAUCUCUGUCCCAGCAGGUUGUGGAAAAUUAUGAAAGGGCUCAGAGUCUGCCCCUGGAGAGAGAGAGAGAGAGAGAGAGAGAGAGAGAGAGAGAGAGAGAGAGAGAGAGAGAGAGAGAGAGAGAGAGUGAUGUAUUAACUAGAGAAUAACGCAAUGUCACUCUGUCUGUGCACUUUUCCCAGCGACGUCAGUGAAGCUAAUUAUUUCCUGGCUCUGUGCCAAAAGGUCUGUGUGUAUAACGUUGGAUUACGGUGUGUUAUUUCUGCUCCCAAUGUUUCUCUUUGAGCCAUUAGGUGGAUAGCACAUGUCGCGCUACACCCACUCUGUCCAAUACAGGAACAUUCCCUGCAAUCUGGAUGACCUUGGAGAGAUUGGAUAAAAAGCCACCUGGCUCCUAAAAGCAACGCCACUGAUCAAAGUGAUCAUAACACAUUAGUUAGGUUCCUUUUGCAUAUUUUUUAUGGAGAUAAUUGACCCUGAUUGUCAUCUAAAUGACUCAUUCGGACUGUUCCUGCUACUCAUUUCCGUUCUCAUACUUAAAGUGUGUCUUUAAAGACUGAUGUUCAAAUGUCAAACACCAAAACAAAUGUCAAACACCAAAACAAAUGUCAAACACCAAAACAUGCCUCAAAUAACAGGAACUCCUUUGUCACGGGGAGGUCCUCGGUGUCUUGCAAAAUAUUUGUGCGUAUGCGUGCAUGCGUGUGCGUGCAUGCACGUGUGUAUGUAUGCGGGCAUAUGUACAUGCGUGCAAGUUUGCGUGCGUGCGUGUGUGUUCAUAAGCGACACGUGCGCGCGUGCUACGUACCGUAGCUCCACGUGUGCGUGUCCUAUGUGCGCGUGUGCUUGUGUGUGUGUGCGUGCACGCUGCGUACCGUAGGUCCAGGUGCUUGACCCGCAGCAGGCGGAAGUUCUGCAGCACCAGCGUGUCCAGGCUGUUGCCCGCCAUGCACAGCCUCUCCAUGGAGGCCAGCCGCUCCAGCACCUGGGGCACGUGGCUGAAGCGGUUGAAGGAGAGGCCCAGGUAGCUCAGCUUCAGCAGGGAGCCCAGCUCCUCGGGCAGGGCCGAC